AGUCACCUUAGGGUCCCCAUAAGAUGGAAACAACUUGGAGACACAACAACUGCCUAGGGCCACUUCCUCGUUUAACUCAUCUAACAGUUGCAGACAAGAGUAUACAAAUUGUUCCAUCAGCUAACAUCUUUGGCUUCUCUGCAGCCUGAUGCAUAGAUCAUGAAUUCAGACACAGAACAAUCUGCAAUAAAAAAUGGGUAUGGUGAAGCUUCUCAGCCCUUUCCUAGAUGGAGGUUAAGAGAUGAAGAGUGCCUAGGAUCACAUAAACUGGAAAGCUCUUC